GAUGAACGCUAGCGACAGGCCUAACACAUGCAAGUCGAGGGGCAGCACUUCGGGUGGCGACCGGCGCACGGGUGAGUAACGCGUAUGCAACCUACCCAUAUCAGGGGGAUAGCCUUCCGAAAGGGAGAUUAAGACCGCAUAGUACAGCGAGAUGGCAUCAUCUUGUUGUUAAAUAUUUUAUAGGAUAUGGAUGGGCAUGCGUCUGAUUAGGCAGUUGGUGAGGUAACGGCUCACCAAGCCGACGAUCAGUAGGGGUUCUGAGAGGAAGGUCCCCCACACUGGUACUGAGACACGGACCAGACUCCUACGGGAGGCAGCAGUGAGGAAUAUUGGUCAAUGGGCGAGAGCCUGAACCAGCCAAGUCGCGUGAAGGAAGACGGCGUUAUGCGUUGUAAACUUCUUUUAUUAGGGAAUAAAAAGGUGGAUGCGUCCGCUGUUGUAUGUACCUAAUGAAUAAGCAUCGGCUAACUCCGUGCCAGCCGCCGCAGUAA
rnacentral:rRNA from 1 species